rnacentral:tRNA from 1 species
GGCCGAGUGGUCUAGGGGUAUGAUUCUCGCUUCGGAUGCGGGAGGUCCCGGAUUCGAAUCCCGGUUCGGCUC